rnacentral:rRNA from 1 species
UACCAGCACCCCGAGUGGUCGGGACGAUUAUUGGGCCUAAAGCAUCCGUAGCCGGUCCUGCAAGUCUUCCGUUAAAUCCAGCUGCUCAACAGAUGGGCUACGGGAGAUACUACAGGGCUAGGAGGCGGGAGAGGCAAGCGGUACUUUAUGGGUAGGGGUAAAAUCCGCUGAUCCAUAGAAGACCACCAGUGGCGAAGGCGGCUUGCCAGAACGCGCUCGACGGUGAGGGAUGAAAGCUGGGGGAGCAAACCGG